rnacentral:rRNA from 1 species
UACGUAGGGGGCGAGCGUUGUCCGGAGUUACUGGGCGUAAAGCGCACGCAGGCGGUCGUGUCAGUUUGGGGUUACAGCUCCCGGCUCAACCGGGAGAGCGCCUCGAAGACGGCAGGACUUGAGGGCCAGAGAGGGACACAGAAUUCCGGGUGGAGUGGUGAAAUGCGUAGAUAUCCGGAGGAAUACCAAAGGCGAAGGCAGUGUCCUGGCUGGUACCUGACGCUCAGGUGCGAAAGCUAGGGGAGCGAACGGG